GCCAGGCAUGGUGGCACGUGGCUGUAGUCUCAGCUACUCGGGAGGCUGAGGUGGGAGAAUCACUUGGGCCCAGGAGUUCUGGGCUGUAGUGCGCUAUGCUGAUCGGGUGUCCACACGAAGUUCAGCAUCACUAUGGUGACCUCCCAGGAGCAGAGGACCACCAGGUUGCCUAAGGAGGGGUGAAGCGGUCCAGGUUGGAAAUGGAGCAGGUCAAAACUCCCAUGCUGAUCAGUAGUGGGAUCGUGCCUGUGAAUAGCCACUGCACUCCAGCCUGGGCAACAUAGCGAGACCCCGUCUCUU
ensembl:misc_RNA Metazoa_SRP Metazoan signal recognition particle RNA